rnacentral:rRNA from 1 species
UACAGAGGGUGCAAGCGUUAAUCGGAAUUACUGGGCGUAAAGCGCACGUAGGCGGUUUUUUAAGUCAGAUGUGAAAGCCCCGGGCUCAACCUGGGAACUGCAUUUGAAACUGGCCAACUAGAGUACGUGAGAGGGGGGUAGAAUUCCAAGUGUAGCGGUGAAAUGCGUAGAGAUUUGGAGGAAUACCAGUGGCGAAGGCGGCCCCCUGGCACGAUACUGACGCUCAGGUGCGAAAGCGUGGGGAGCAAACAGG